UUGCAGGCAACGGAGGUAAAGUGACCUGCCCACGGUCACACAGCUGAAGUGGAAACCGAUCCACGCUUUUCUUCACCCUAUCCCCUCGUAAUGACUUCAAGGGACUAUCAAGGUUGCCAAAGGUCAACAUUUACAAGACUUAAAGGAUGGCCAGCUGGGGUACAGGGAGGUGUGUGUUGUAUCUGUCAUCCACGAAGAUCUAUGAGGAUCUACUUGAUGAACUAUGGAGUGAAAGCUUGAGAAAAGCUGAACAGAUUGUUUCCUGUUGUGGUUGGAAAGCUUCUGUCAUCAAGAGAAAAGAGAUGGAGAGAUCUUUUUCUGAAUAAGUUGUUUUCAACUUCAUCUUUUUAAGAGAAUUUUGAGAAGAAAUUUUACUUGAGGACUGUGGAGAAAACUAAAUAGCACAAGACUG